rnacentral:rRNA from 1 species
UACGGUGGAUGCGAGCGUUAUCCGGAUUUAUUGGGUUUAAAGGGUGCGUAGGCGGUCCGUUAAGUCAGCGGUAAAAUUGCGGGGCUCAACCCCGUCGAGCCGUUGAAACUGUCAGACUUGAGUUGGCGAGAAGUACGCGGAAUGCGCGGUGUAGCGGUGAAAUGCAUAGAUAUCGCGCAGAACUCCGAUUGCGAAGGCAGCGUACCGGCGCCACACUGACGCUGAGGCACGAAAGCGUGGGGAUCGAACAGG